GCCUCCAGAGAGUUCCACGGAUAUCUCUCUCCAUCCGCAUGGUGUCGCUUCCUGUCCCAGUUCUUUCUCGCUUUUCCUCCUCUCUGCUUUUCUUUGCUACCAUCGGUGUCGGAAACUCCGCUUCUGCACGAAUAUUUCGUCUGCUGUCAGCUUGCUCAGCGGCUUCGUUUGUUUGGUGAGAUGUGUUUUCCCCUUUCUCCUUCGUCGUGAGUUUCCAUUCCGUGGACAUCUUUUUCCAGAUUCCUUCGUGGAUUAGAUCCUGGCUCCUCUAGUCGAGAUCGUCUUGCUUUUUUUCCGAGAUGGAGAUUAGGACCGAGAAGGCAAGUAUUUUUCUUUGGUAGCUUUGGCAUGUGCAGACAGAUAAGGAAAUGCUUCUAUAGUUCUACCUCAUUGAACUCUAUUUUGGAGAUUGAGAUUGAAAAGGCAAGUAUUUCUUUUUUGGUAAAGUAUUUCGCAAGUGGACAUCUGGUUCCAAUUUUUUUUAAAGGGAUUUGGUUCCAAAUUCGUGCUUGGACCUGCCAGGAUUCUAUUGUUUUUGCCGUAUCCUCUUGCUUUGGUACAUGUAGAUCAACAAGCAAAUGUUUUUUUAUUUCAUUGAACUUCAAUGAGUGCAGGUUAUGUUCUGUUUGUAUUUUAUUGAACUUCAUUAUACUAUUUUCUUUUGGUAAAGUUGUUCACAUCAAGUGCAUGUUGCAUUCUUUUUAGUUUUUUAACGGUUCUGCUUUUUCAGCUUGCUCUUCGUUGCAUUUAUUUUUUAGCUGUGUUUCCAUUCCUCCAGCUGUGUUUCCAUUCUCCCUUUGUUGACCAUUUCGAUUUCGUGGACAACUAAUUUCCUUUGGGUGAAAUGAUCUGCACGAAGUUGAGAUUUCGUUUUCUUUUGUUUAUGGACGCAUCAAGAUUCCAACACGCUGUUAUUUUCUUCGCUGGUUUAGUAAUGAGGAAAUCCAUUUUGCAACCCUAAUUUUAGGGUUUAGGGUUUUAACUGAUAUUGUGAAAAAAGUUGUUCCUCCCUGGUCCCAACACUUCCAUCUACUCUCUGAUUGUUCUGCUCCAGACUAUGGUGUGUAAAUCUGCCGCAUCGUUUUUUUUGUACUGGAAAGCUCUAAAAAUAAGGAAAUUAUUUGCAUCGUUUUUAAAAAGAUAGCAUCUUGCACGGUCGCUUUUUGGAGAAAGAAAAGUAACCCAAUUCGGUUUUGUCCAAAUUAGUUUCAAUUUGAUACCUUCUCGAGUUUUGCUUCCUGUUUUUAUCGUUUGGGUUUACUAAAUUGCUUAGAAUUCAACAUCUUUCCCUCAUAACUCACUUUUUUGUCUUUGUUCGACUUUCGUAGAAUUAGAUACAAUUUCCUGCUCGUUCCACCCAAAUUUCCUCCUCUCUUAUUGUUUUUAUGUGAGUUUCCUUAGAUCAAUACGUGAAGGUCAACACAUACAUGUUGUGUUUGUUGCUAUGCAAAGAAUGUCAUCUAGGCACGAGGACUACUAUCUCAAAUCAUUGGAGCUUUCUUUGGCAAGUUUCAUAUCAUAAAUAGCGUAUAUUGCUACCAUAAAUUUUUUACAACCACAUUUACAACGUGGUAUCCAAAAUGGUUACAACAACUCAACCAUCAUCAGAGACGUCUUCAUCAAGAAUAUAAGGUACGAAAUUCUCCUUUAUGUAUUACUGUUACAAUCUUGCCACCUAAAAUGCGUGACAAUUACUACGAAACCUUUGCACCACUAAUCCUUAUAUCAGAUUAUGUAUUUAUACUAGCUACAUUGUUCUUAUUUCUUCAGUGACAUGUCUCUGAAAUUUACUCUUUGGGGAAAUCAAGCAUCAAACUUUUCUAUAUGUGAUAUUUACAAUCAAAGCAACAACCAACCUAUUGUCAUACUGCUCGUUGGAUUUCUUGCUAAACAAUUCAAAGGUUAUGAUCCAAGCUUUUCAAAAGAACAAUUCAAUUAUUUAUUCCAACAAAUUUGAUAACACAUAUUCUACAUCAAUUGUAGGUCAACCAUACCUAAGCGGUACUACAACAAGUUUAUGGUACUUCAAUCCUGGAAUUCCUGAGGCGCAGACCUACUACAACACGUAAAACAAAAUAAAAAUUUGGAUACAAUUACUUCAAACACUCACUAUUUUUUAUACCACAUUUUGAAUCUGCUCCUCUCUAAUCUUAUGCCCACAGUUAGCUAACAGUUUAAUAAACUAUAGUCUACUAAGCUAGCAGUAGCAAUAUUUAAACUGAAAUUGUAGAUAAACCUUAUUUUUUUACCAUUACCUCUUUAUAUAUUACAUUCAGACCAGUUUGGUAUCCCUCUUCAGAGAAUAUUCAAUACUUAUAUUUAUUUUUUUACCUAAAACUAAUAGCCACCGUUUCAUUUCGUUUUCUCUAUAAAAAAUCACUGACAGAUGUUACUGCAAAAGAAAAAUCGCCGCUGCCUAGAAUCAGUGUCUACAAAAACAAUUCAUUUUUUAAAUGGUGUUAUAAUUGCUUGUAUUUCUUAGGCACUAUUUCAAUUUUUUAAAAUGAUGAUACAUGCUAUCCUCUUUUUCCUAAAGCGGGUUACAGGACAUCCUAUUGUCUUCAAUUUUUUUUAAAAAAUAAAAGUAUUGUUCAUACUACUCAUGCACAACUUCAAUACAAAACAAAUUAAGGUACACACCCUCUCGUUUUUUGAUUGAACUCUUAGGAUACCAUGUUCUCUUUAAAAAACCAAAAAAAAAUAUUUAGAUGUUGAGCCAAUCAUUCACAUCACAUUAUUUACGCCAAAAUGGAAAACAUAAGAGGAACUUUAACAAAAAAACAAAAAAUACUAAAACUAAGUCUUAUCUGAUCAUGGUUGUGACAUCACUUGAAGUAAUGAAUACACAAUGAAUGUUGGCAAAGCCCAACAAAUACUCAAAGUUGGCUUUCUCUUAGUCUGCUUUCUCUUAAUCAACCACUAAUAACUCAUUCUCACAAAGGGUGGGGGUUAGAGAGGGCUCAUAAAUGGCUGGAAAUGGGUUUGGAGUGUUUUGAACACCAAUCUCUAAAGGCAUGUGAUAAUAUAUAUACCCCAACACAAAACUAGUUGUAGGAGGUCAAAACUAGCAGUUUGGGACUAUACACGCCCAACACUGUUGGGCCUCCAAGUAGCAUUGCCACAACAUAAAUUGUCUCACAAAAAUACCAUAUUUUUUACCCUGAACUCUAUUUUUAGUGACCUUAUUUUUUUCCAGAAAGCUUAUUUCAAGGGCUAUCCAAUCUAGUUAAGAACAAUAUGAAAUAUCAUCAAAAUAUUAUGUUAUGUUUUCUCUCAUGCUAUCACUUGGGGUUCAAUUAUUUUGAACACUUGAGACUUGUCUAUGAUUCAUAUUGCAUCCCCUUGAUACUAUGGAAUACCUAUACUCAA